rnacentral:rRNA from 1 species
GACGAACGCUGGCGGCGUGCUUAACACAUGCAAGUCGAACGGAAAGGCCUCUUUCGGGGGGUACUCGAGUGGCGAACGGGUGAGUAACACGUGAGUAACCUGCCCUUGACUUUGGGAUAACUUCAGGAAACUGGGGCUAAUACCGGAUAGGAGCCCCUGCUGCAUGGUGGGGGUUGGAAAGUUUCGGCGGUUGGGGAUGGACUCGCGGCUUAUCAGCUUGUUGGUGGGGUAGUGGCUUACCAAGGCUUUGACGGGUAGCCGGCCUGAGAGGUGACCGGCCACAUUGGGACUGAGAUACGGCCCAGACUCCUACGGGAGGCAGCAGUGGGGAAUAUUGCACAAUGGGUGGAAGCCUGAUGCAGCAACGCCGUGUGCGGGAUGACGGCCUUCGGGUUGUAAACCGCUUUCGCUCAUGACGAAGCUUUGUGUGACGGUAGUGGGUAAAGAAGCACCGGCUAACUACGUG